rnacentral:rRNA from 1 species
GACGAACGCUGGCGGCGUGCUUAACACAUGCAAGUCGAACGGAAAGGCCCCUUUGGGGGUACUCGAGUGGCGAACGGGUGAGUAACACGUUAGUAACCUGCCCUUGACUUCGGGAUAACUUCAGGAAACUGGGGCUAAUACCGGAUAGGAAUCCUUGCUGCAUGGUGGGGGUUGGAAAGCUUCGGCGGGUUUGGAUGGACUCGCGGCUUAUCAGCUUGUUGGUGGGGUAGUGGCUUACCAAGGCUUUGACGGGUAGCCGGCCUGAGAGGGCGACCGGCCACAUUGGGACUGAGAUACGGCCCAGACGCCGACGGGAGGCAGCAGUGGGGAAUAUUGCACAAUGGGCGGAAGCCUGAUGCAGCAACGCCGCGUGCGGGAUGACGGCCUUCGGGUUGUAAACCGCUUUCAGCAGGGGCGAAGCUUGUGGUGACGGUACCUGCAUAAGAAGCACCGGCUAACUACGUG